GAUACGUCAGGAUGACCACAGAUUUUUCUACAAGUUCUUUUGCAAGACGCCACAGCUCUUUGACAAGCUAUUGAGCUUUGUCGCAGAGCACCUCACAUGGCAGCAGCACAUUCGAGAAACCCCUGGAGCCUGGAGAACGACUUGCUGUAGCAUUGAGAAUGCCACGCUACCACUCCAACGGGUGUCACCAGCCUGGCUGCCACGGCGGCCCAUCGCAACAUCACCUACGUCGUCGGUCUCUCACCCAGGCGACCGAUGUGCGCUAGCGUCGGUUGGGCGAAAAGUGCAUUGUCUCUGAAAGAGCGCACGCCUUGAGCGCAUGCCAUUUGGAGCCGUCACGUGCAGCGCCGAACGACGCCAGACAGCAUUCCAGCCCAUCGCGUGCCAACUGCCCCGAACAUUUUGCUUCGCAACAGCCGUGAUAUACUCGACUAGGACGAUGCCUGGUGCUUUUGGACAUAGCAUUGGACAUAGCGUUGGACAUAGCGUUGGACAUAGCGUUGUUGCAAAGUGUUGUUGCAGAGUGUUGUUGCAAAGUGUUGUUGCAAAGUGUUGUUGCACAGUGUUGUUGCAAAGUGUUGUUGCAAAGUGUUGUUGCAAAGUGUUGUUGCAAAGUGUUGUUGCAAAGUGUUGUUGCAAAGUGUUGUUGCAAAGUGUUGUUGCAAAGUGCAGUAGCAAAGUGUUGUUGCAAAGUGUAGUAGCAAAGUGUAGUUGCAAAGUGUGGUUGCAUGGUGUAGUUGCAUGGUGUAGUUGCAUGGUGUAGUUGCAUGGUGUAGUUGCAUGGUGUAGUUGCAUAGUGUAGUUGCAUAGUGUAGUUGCAUGGUGUAGUUGCAUAGUAUUGUUGCAUAGUGCUGUUGGACACCCAGGUGGGUGUCCGGUCUUGUACGGGGGGGAGUGUCGGGCCCUUGGCCCUCUCUGCAGCGCGCCCGGGGGAAGCCUUUGAAUCGCGCGCCACAACGGCACUCGUCGCAUGGAGCAUGCGCAUCGAUCGCGGUAGCGUAAGAACUCGCGCGGGGACUGCCGGGAAGGCGGCUGCCCGAUAAGAUGGCAGCGGAGACGGCACUCGGGGCUUUUUGCGGGGCGCGGGCUUGGGGAGGCGCUGGUGGGGCGUGGCCCGUCUAGGUUUCUUUUACCGAGCGUGCUGCAGAGCAGGGGGAAAAGCGUCUUUGCAUUGUGUCUGCAUGAAAGAGUGUUGUUGUUCUUGUUGUUCGCUUUUGGGACUAUCCGCGCGCCUGGUUCGGUGCUUGCUUGCUUUCUGCGCUUUAUGCAUUCUGUUAUCGCCCGAAAGAUUGUGUUGGUUGAUGGUUGGUAGCGGCCGUUCUUUCGUCGCUCCCUUUCGCUUGCAUAUUUGGUUGCCUCGCUGUUUUGCUGCUUGCCUCUUUGCUUUUGCUGCCUUUUGCUGCUUUGCUUCUUUGCUGCCUGCUUCCUUGCCUUGUUGUUUUCUGCUAUUGGCCGCGAGGCUGCGGUAAUUUUGAGUGUUACAUUCUAGCGUAAAUUAAAGCGGUUUUUGUUCCUUG